rnacentral:rRNA from 1 species
UGGGGAAUAUUGGACAAUGGGCGCAAGCCUGAUCCAGCAAUGCCGCGUGUGUGAAGAAGGCCUUCGGGUUGUAAAGCACUUUUAUCAGGAGCGAAAUACUACUGGCUAAUAACCGGUGGGGCUGACGGUACCUGAGGAAUAAGCACCGGCUAACUUCGUGCCAGCAGCCGCGGUAAUACGAAGGGUGCAAGCGUUAAUCGGAAUUACUGGGCGUAAAGCGUGCGUAGGCGGUUAUUUAAGUCUGUUGUGAAAUCCCCGGGCUCAACCUGGGAAUGGCAAUGGAUACUGGAUAGCUAGAGUGUGAUAGAGGAUGGUGGAAUUCCCGGUGUAGCGGUGAAAUGCGUAGAGAUCGGGAGGAACAUCAGUGGCGAAGGCGGCCAUCUGGAUCAACACUGACGCUGAGGCACGAAAGCGUGGGGAGCAAACA